UGGGGAAUCUUGCCCAAUGGGCGAAAGCCUGAGGCAGCGACGCCGCGUGAGGGAAGACGGCCUUCGGGUUGUAAACCUCUUUCAGGAGGGACGAAGCCACUCGGGUUAAUAGCCCAGAGGGUGACGGUACCUCCAGAAGAAGCCCCGGCUAACUACGUGCCAGCAGCCGCGGUAAUACGUAGGGGGCAAGCGUUGUCCGGAUUUAUUGGGCGUAAAGAGCGUGUAGGCGGCUAGGUAGGUCGGUUGUGAAAACUAGAGGCUCAACCUCUAGACGUCGACCGAAACCAUCUGGCUAGAGUCCGGAAGAGGAGAGUGGAAUUCCUGGUGUAGCGGUGAAAUGCGCAGAUAUCAGGAAGAACACCGAUGGCGAAGGCAGCUCUCUGGGACGGUACUGACGCUGAGACGCGAAAGCGUGGGGAGCAAACAG
rnacentral:rRNA from 1 species